UUUUAAAACUAAAGGAGUUCUCUCCACAGACCUUCUGCUUCUUUCCAGGUCACAGAACUCUGUAUGUGGGAGUUCGGAUGCCGCUUGGCCGGCAGAGCCAUCGGCAUCACCGCACUCAUGGCCAGAAGCACCGGAGACGAGGGCGAGGCAAAGGAGCCAGCCAGGGGGAGGAAGGCCUGGAAGCCCUGGCCCACGACACACCAUCUCAGCGUGUUCAGUUCAUUCUUGGCACCGAGGAAGAUGAAGAGCAUGUGCCUCAUGAGCUGUUUACAGAGCUGGAUGAGAUCUGUAUGAAAGAGGGAGAAGAUGCUGAGUGGAAGGAAACAGCCAGGUGGCUGAAGUUUGAAGAAGAUGUUGAAGAUGGGGGAGAACGCUGGAGCAAGCCUUAUGUGGCAACCCUUUCAUUGCACAGCCUGUUUGAGCUAAGGAGCUGCCUUAUUAAUGGAACAGUCCUCCUGGAUAUGCGUGCAAAUAGCAUAGAAGAAAUUUCAGACCUGAUCCUGGAUCAGCAAGAACUGUCCAGUGACCUGAAUGACAGCAUGAGGGUUAAAGUGCGGGAAGCCCUUCUCAAAAAGCAUCAUCAUC
rnacentral:sRNA from 1 species